rnacentral:siRNA from 1 species
CACGACAUGGGUGGAGUGGAAAGA